rnacentral:rRNA from 1 species
CCUACGGGUGGCUGCAGUGGGGAAUUUUGGACAAUGGGGGCAACCCUGAUCCAGCCAUGCCGCGUGAGUGAAGAAGGCCUUCGGGUUGUAAAGCUCUUUCAGCCGGGAAGAAAUCGCAUCAGCUAAUACCUGGUGUGGAUGACGGUACCGGAAUAAGAAGCACCGGCUAACUACGUGCCAGCAGCCGCGGUAAUACGUAGGGUGCGAGCGUUAAUCGGAAGUACUGGGCGGAUAGUGUGAGCCAGCGGUUAAAUCCCCGGGCUCAACCUGGGAACUGCGUUUGUGACUGCACAGCUAGAGUAUGGCAGAGGGGGGUGGAAUUCCACGUGUAGCAGUGAAAUGCGUAGAGAUGUGGAGGAACACCGAUGGCGAAGGCAGCCCCCUGGGCCAAUACUGACGCUCAUGCACGAAAGCGUGGGUAGCAAACAGGAUUAGAUACCCGGGUAGUC